rnacentral:tRNA from 1 species
UGUGCUGUUAGUGUAAUGGAUAUCACACAAGAUUCCGGUUCUUGUAAUCUCGGUUCGACUCCGAGACGGCAUAU